UACGGGGGGGGCAAGCGUUGUUCGGAAUUAUUGGGCGUAAAGAGCUCGUAGGCGGUCUGUCGCGUCUGCUGUGAAAACUCGGGGCUUAACCCCGGGCCUGCAGUGGGUACGGGCAGACUAGAGUGCGGUAGGGGAGACUGGAAUUCCUGGUGUAGCGGUGAAAUGCGCAGAUAUCAGGAGGAACACCGGUGGCGAAGGCGGGUCUCUGGGCCGUAACUGACGCUGAGGAGCGAAAGCGUGGGGAGCGAACAGG
rnacentral:rRNA from 1 species